rnacentral:rRNA from 1 species
UACGUAGGGUGCGAGCGUUACUCGGAAUUACUGGGCGUAAAGUGUGCGCAGGUGGCCGCGCAAGUCGAGUGUGAAAGCCCCGGGCUUAACUUGGGAAUUGCGCUCGAAACUACGUGGCUAGAGUGUGGCAGAGGGAGGUGGAAUUCCACGUGUAGCGGUGAAAUGCGUAGAGAUGUGGAGGAACACCAAUGGCGAAGGCAGCCUCCUGGGCCAACACUGACACUCAUGCACGAAAGCGUGGGGAGCAAACAGG